GGGAAAGUGGCUCAGUGGUAGAGCGAUUGCCUUGCAUGCAUGAGGCCCUGAGUUCGAUUCCUCAGCACCA
rnacentral:tRNA from 1 species